UACGUAGGGUGCGAGCGUUGUCCGGAAUUACUGGGCGUAAAGAGCUCGUAGGUGGUUUGUCGCGUUGUCCGUGAAAACUCACAACUCAAUUGUGGGCGUGCGGGCGAUACGGGCAGACUGGAGUACUGCAGGGGAGACUGGAAUUCCUGGUGUAGCGGUGGAAUGCGCAGAUAUCAGGAGGAACACCGGUGGCGAAGGCGGGUCUCUGGGAAGUAACUGACGCUGAGGAGCGAAAGCGUGGGGAGCGAACAGG
rnacentral:rRNA from 1 species